rnacentral:rRNA from 1 species
AUUGAACGCUGGCGGCAUGCCUUACACAUGCAAGUCGAACGGCAGCACGGGUGCUUGCACCUGGUGGCGAGUGGCGAACGGGUGAGUAAUACAUCGGAACGUACCUUUUCGUGGGGGAUAACGCAGCGAAAGCUGUGCUAAUACCGCAUACGCCCUGAGGGGGAAAGCGGGGGAUCGAAAGACCUCGCGCGACUAGAGCGGCCGAUGCCUGAUUAGCUUGUUGGUGGGGUAAAAGCCCACCAAGGCGACGAUCAGUAGCUGGUCUGAGAGGACGAUCAGCCACACUGGGACUGAGACACGGCCCAGACUCCUACGGGAGGCAGCAGUGGGGAAUUUUGGACAAUGGGGGCAACCCUGAUCCAGCAAUGCCGCGUGAGUGAAGAAGGCCUUCGGGUUGUAAAGCUCUUUUGUCAGGGAAGAAACACCGGCUCUAACACAGUCCGGGAAUGACGGUACCUGAAGAAUAAGCACCGGCUAACUACGUGCCAGCAGCCGCAGUAA